UGGGGUGUAGCCAAGCGGUAAGGCAACGGACUUUGACUCCGUCAUGCGUAGGUUCAAAUCCUGCCACCCCAGCCA
rnacentral:tRNA from 1 species